GAAGGGGGCUCAUCUACUUGCGGACCCAGGUUGAUGGCAGGAACUAUUCUUUGCUCUUAUAUAUCUAUAAAUAGCAAGAGAAUUCUAGCAGCCAUUUUGCACAAUGAUGCUACCUUUCUUCACCAAAUUUGGCUGGAGCAGAGAUGGACCUAUAUGGCUCAAAACCAGAGCUUUUUUUGUGAAUUUAGAAUUGGAACCAUACACUAAAAAGCCAAUUUCUGUGCAGCUGAAUUAUAACGUAUGUUUGAGAUCUAUUAUUUUA